rnacentral:misc_RNA from 1 species
GAUGAAGAACGUAGCGAAAUGCGAUAAGUAAUGUGAAUUGCAGAAUUCAGUGAAUCAUCGAAUCUUUGAACGCACAUUGCGCCCGCCAGUAUUCUGGCGGGCAUGCCUGUCCGAGCGUCAUUUCAACCAUCAAGCCCCCGGGCUUGUGUUGGGGACCUGCGGCUGCCCGCAGGCCCUGAAAACCAGUGGCGGGCUCGCUGUCACACCGAGCGUAGUAGCAAUCACCUCGCUCAGGGCGUGCUGCGGGUUCCGGCCGUUAAACAGCCUUACAAAACCCAAGGUUGACCUCGGAUCAGGUAGGAAGACCCGCUGAACUUAAGCAUAUCAAUAAGCGGAGA